AUGGAGCAGCCUAUAGGCAAUCCGAGUGAGCUGUGGAAGAGCCCCAGGGGAACAGUGAUUCGUAUUGAGGUGCUUGCAUUGGUGGCCAUUGCCCUCUCCUUCUUCUUUGUGGCUUUUGGGUCCAGCUGCCGCUGGUCCAACCGUUGGAUCAUUCAAAAAGGUGUCUUGGCUGCAAAUGCAUUAUCUUUGUCCCUUAGGACAUAUAGCAUUGGCCUGAUGCAGUCCUCACCGGUGAAGAGUGAGAUGUACCCCAUCUGGGCCGUAUCCUUGCUCACCCUCUUCGGCAGCAUUAACUCAGUCAAUGGGUACAAUCUUGACCACAACAACCAGUUGUUGAAGCUGCUAUACCAGCUCUGCCUCUAUUGUGGAUAUGUCCUGCUAAUUGGUAUCUCCACCAUCUCCAGUGAUGUAGGUAACAUUGCAAUCGGUGUUUUGUGUGCCAUCACUUUCAUUAAGGGUUUUCAUAGAUCACUGCUAGCAAGUGUGUUGCCGAGCCGAUUGCGGAGUGUGAAUAAAUUGAUUGCUGAUUGCAUGGAGUCAGAAAAGAUUAAGGCUACAGACAGACUUUGCGGAUGGUCACUUGGCACUGGCAAUUUAACCGCCACGAUAGAUUGCCCUAUUUACGUGGUCGACUGGCAUUGA
rnacentral:rRNA from 1 species